rnacentral:rRNA from 1 species
UACGUAGGGUGCGAGCGUUAAUCGGAAUUACUGGGCGUAAAGCGUGCGCAGGCGGUUCGUUGUGUCGGCGGUGAAAGCCCCGGGCUUAACCUGGGAACGGCCGUUGAAACUGGCGAACUGGAGUGUGGCAGAGGGGGGUGGAAUUCCGCGUGUAGCAGUGAAAUGCGUAGAGAUGCGGAGGAACACCGAUGGCGAAGGCAGCCCCCUGGGCUAACACUGACGCUCAGGCACGAAAGCGUGGGGAGCAAACAGG